rnacentral:rRNA from 1 species
GAGGGCGGCGUACGGCUCAGUAACAUGUGGUCAAUCUACCCUCAGGACGGAGAUAACCUCGGGAAACUGAGGCUAAUAUCCGAUAGAUAAUGGAUCCUGGAAUGGUUCAUUAUUCAAACGGCACAUUGCUCAUGCGCAGUGUGUCGCCUGAGGAUGAGACUGCACCCUAUCAGGUAGUUGGUGGGGUAAUGGCCCACCAAGCCUAUAACGGGUACGGGCCCUGAGAGGGGGAGCCCGGAGAUGGGCACUGAGACAAGGGCCCAGGCCCUACGGGGCGCAGCAGGCGCGAAGCCUCUGCAAUGCGCGAAAGCGCGACAGGGCCACCCCGAGUGCUAGCCGCUGAGGUUAGCUUUUCCUUAGUGUAGUAAGCUAAGGGAAUAAGCGGGGGGCAAGCCUGGUGUCAGCCGCCGCGGUAAUACCAGCUCCGCGAGUGGUCGGGACGAUUAUUGGGCCUAAAGCGUCCGUAGCCGGCCUAUCAAGUCUCUGGUUAAACCUCAAGGCUCAACCUUGAGAUCGCUGGAGAUACUGUUAGGCUAGGGGGCGGGAGAGGUUGAGGGUACUUCGCGGGUAGGGGCGAAAUCCUAUAAUCCGCGAAGGACC